rnacentral:lncRNA from 1 species
AGAAUGGCGUGAACUUGGGAGGCGGAGCUUGCAGCUAGCUGAGAUUGCACCACUGCACUCCAGCCUGGGCGACAGAGCGAGACUCUGAAAAAAAAAAAAAAAAAGAAAAAAAAAAUCGCAGCAGGCAAACGUUCUGCAAUUCUCUGGGCUUCUUCUACUUGCAAACACUUAUCAAACACACUGAAGCCUCCGUUAAUGUCUUUGCCUCCCCGCUUAUUGAGGAAGCUAAUUAACUAGGUAGCUAAUUAAUUGUCUCUUACUGAGAACUACUAGAAAUUUAUACUCUGAUUAUUGGCUUAGGAGAAGUUGGAUGAAAUAAAUAACUUGGACUGUUGAAAAGUCAAAAUAGUUUUUUCAAUCAACUGGGGCCUCCACUCCCCUGCAAGAUUUGUGUGCAUGCUGAUGGGAGAGAGAGGGUCCCUCUACGCACCUGCAGGGAGGAGCC